rnacentral:rRNA from 1 species
GUGGGGAAUAUUGGACAAUGGGCGAAAGCCUGAUCCAGCCAUGCCGCGUGUGUGAAGAAGGUCUUCGGAUUGUAAAGCACUUUAAGUUGGGAGGAAGGGUAGUAACCUAAUACGUUGCUACUUUGACGUUACCGACAGAAUAAGCACCGGCUAACUUCGUGCCAGCAGCCGCGGUAAUACGAAGGGUGCAAGCGUUAAUCGGAAUUACUGGGCGUAAAGCGCGCGUAGGUGGUUUUGUAAGUUGGAGGUGAAAUCCCCGGGCUCAACCUGGGAACUGCAUCCAAAACUGCAUGACUAGAGUACGGUAGAGGGUAGUGGAAUUUCCUGUGUAGCGGUGAAAUGCGUAGAUAUAGGAAGGAACACCAGUGGCGAAGGCGACUACCUGGACUGAUACUGACACUGAGGUGCGAAAGCGUGGGGAGCAAACAGGAUUAGAUACCCCGGUAGUCC